GUACAUGCCUAUAGCAUAGCGUUAGUGCACUAGAUCCCAUUAGAACUUUGUAGUUAAGCACACUUGGGCUAGAGUCGUAUUGGGAUUGGUAUUUUGUAAACUUAGACCAAUUUAUC
rnacentral:rRNA from 1 species